rnacentral:lncRNA from 1 species
AUGCACACACACACACACCCCUUCUCUGUGCAUGAAAGAGACAGGGCAUGGCGAGUGGUUGCUGCUGUUUUAAUAGAGAAAAUGCUGGCGGAAGGUGAACGUACCGCGCACAGGCUGGCAAGUGCCGUGGUACAGAUAAGUCUGCAGCACAUCAUGGGGAUCUUUGUGUAAACUGAGGUGAGUGUUAGAUUAUGCCUUGCAUUGUACCACCUUUGAUCUAUGCAUAUUUUCCUAUUUGAUCCCGGCACAGCACAUUUAGCCAUGUACUAAGGAGUUCUUUCCCCUUUGUCUUUCAAAUGCUAUUGCAUUGGACAUUCUCUAUCUUUUAAAAUGUAUGUUUAAAGUUGAAUAUAUGUAAUGUCCCCUUAGACUGCUAUUUUUCAUUUACAAAGAUAAGUUUUAUAUACUGUAAAUUUUAUUUCGUACCAAAAAUAUAUUAUCCUGCAAGCAAAUUGAGUCUAAUGUUCUCAAUGUGCCUGUAAUUCUUUUGCAAUUGAGUGAAGUGUGAAAAUUCAUUUGACUGCUCUUAGUGAAAGAUAAGAGGGGUGGGAGAUGGAAAUUGUUUUACUUCUGCCAAGUGAGCA